GUGAGGAAUAUUGGGCAAUGUCCGAAAGGGUGACCCAGCAACGCCGCGUGGAGGAUGAAGGUCGUAAGAUUGUAAACUCCUGUUAGAGGGGAAGAAUAACUAAGUUUGGAGCUUAGUAUGACUGUACCCUCAGAGAAAGCCCCGGCUAACUACGUGCCAGCAGCCGCAGUAAUACGUAGGGGGCAAGCGUUGUCCGGAUUUACUGGGUGUAAAGGGCGCGCAGGCGGAAUGGAAAGUCAGUGGUGAAAUCCUACAGCUUAACUGUAGAACUGCCUUUGAUACUUUCAUUCUUGAGUUCGGGAGAGAGAGACGGAAUUCCAGGUGUAGUGGUGAAAUACGUAGAUAUCUGGAAGAACACCAGUUGCGAAGGCGGUCUCUUGGUCCGAUACUGACGCUGAGGCGCGAAAGCGUGGGGAGCAAACA
rnacentral:rRNA from 1 species